rnacentral:rRNA from 1 species
UGGGGAAUUUUGGACAAUGGGGGAAACCCUGAUCCAGCCAUCCCGCGUGUGCGAUGAAGGCCUUCGGGUUGUAAAGCACUUUUGGCAGGAAAGAAACGUCAUGGGUUAAUACCCCGUGAAACUCACGGUACCUGCAGAAUAAGCACCGGCUAACUACGUGCCAGCAGCCGCGGUAAUACGUAGGGUGCAAGCGUUAAUCGGAAUUACUGGGCGUAAAGCGUGCGCAGGCGGUUCGGAAAGAAAGAUGUGAAAUCCGAGAGCUCAACUUUGGAACUGCAUUUUUAACUACCGGGCUAGAGUGUGUCAGAGGGAGGAGGAAUUCCGCGUGUAGCAGUGAAAUGCGUAGAUAUGCGGAGGAACACCGAUGGCGAAGGCAGCCUCCUGGGAUAACACUGACGCUCAUGCACGAAAGCGUGGGGAGCAAACAGG